rnacentral:rRNA from 1 species
GACGAACGCUGGCGGCGUGCUUAACACAUGCAAGUCGAACGGAAAGGCCCUGCUUUUGUGGGGUGCUCGAGUGGCGAACGGGUGAGUAACACGUGAGUAACCUGCCCUUGACUUUGGGAUAACUUCAGGAAACUGGGGCUAAUACCGGAUAGGAGCUCCUGCUGCAUGGUGGGGGUUGGAAAGUUUCGGCGGUUGGGGAUGGACUCGCGGCUUAUCAGCUUGUUGGUGGGGUAGUGGCUUACCAAGGCUUUGACGGGUAGCCGGCCUGCGAGGGUGACCGGCCACAUGGGGACUGAGAUACGGCCCAGACUCCUACGGGAGGCAGUAGUGGAGAAUAUGGCACAAUGGGCGGAAGCCUGAUGCAGCAACGCCGCGUGCGGGAUGACGGCCUUCGGGUUGUAAACCGCUUUCGCCUGUGACGAAGCGUGAGUGACGGUAAUGGGUAAAGAAGCACCGGCUAACUACGUG